AGUCGAGGGGUAUUGGUUUUCGGACCAGAGACCGGCGCACGGGUGCGUAACGCGUAUGCAAUCUACCUUUUACAGAGGGAUAGCCCAGAGAAAUUUGGAUUAAUACCUCAUAGUAUUAUGAAAUGGCAUCAUUUUAUAAUUAAAGUCACAACGGUAAAAGAUGAGCAUGCGUCCCAUUAGCUAGUUGGUAAGGUAACGGCUUACCAAGGCUACGAUGGGUAGGGGUCCUGAGAGGGAGAUCCCCCACACUGGUACUGAGACACGGACCAGACUCCUACGGGAGGCAGCAGUGAGGAAUAUUGGACAAUGGGCGCAAGCCUGAUCCAGCCAUGCCGCGUGCAGGAUGACGGUCCUAUGGAUUGUAAACUGCUUUUAUACAGGAAGAAACACUGGUUCGUGAACCAGCUUGACGGUACUGUAAGAAUAAGGAUCGGCUAACUCCGUGCCAGCAGCCGCGGUAAUACGGAGGAUCCAAGCGUUAUCCGGAAUCAUUGGGUUUAAAGGGUCCGUAGGCGGUUUAAUAAGUCAGUGGUGAAAGCCCAUCGCUCAACGGUGGAACGGCCAUUGAUACUGUUAAACUUGAAUUAUUAGGAAGUAACUAGAAUAUGUAGUGUAGCGGUGAAAUGCUUAGAGAUUACAUGGAAUACCAAUUGCGAAGGCAGGUUACUACUAAUGGAUUGACGCUGAUGG
rnacentral:rRNA from 2 species